AUCAGCUCGGGCUCCGACUCCAGCGCGUCGAAGACCGCGGCGCCCACCAGCAGGAUGAAGACCUGGAUCCUUGAAAUUGCCUGCAAGACCCUUUUGGAUCUGGCUCCUGCCUACCUCUCCAGCCCAGCUUCAAGUCCUCUAUUCUGCCCUGCCCUAAUCCUGGGCUUCCGGAGCCUUCUUUCAGGACCCAAACCCUCCAUACUCCUUCCAUCUCAGCCCCAACAUAGACCCUUCUUCCACCAGCCUCACUCCUCUUCCCAUCUGCUCACUUCUUCUCCUCUGAUGGUCCCAUCCCCAGGAAGUCCCCCAUGACCCCAAAGAGGGUUACACCACGUAUAUUCCCCCAGCUCUCACUCUCUUCCCCAAUGAUGAAACACCAUUAUAAUGGAAAGAUCAAUUGCAUCUUAAGGACUGGGUAUCUGCCUUCCCGACUAGAUCUCAGGCUCUAGGAGGGUAAGGGCAGGUCACUAUGCCUGCUUUCUUCAACACUGCCACCCAGCACUUGUUUAAUGUCUGGUUCUUGAUACAUAUUUGUUGAGUAAAUAAAUGACUGUCAUUUAAAA
rnacentral:lncRNA from 1 species